rnacentral:misc_RNA from 1 species
CAUUGAGGAACAUAUACAGACACGAAACGCCUAAGAAAUAAAAAGCAGCUCUUUUUUCCCAUUGGCGAUAGUAAGGAAAUACAAUAAGUGUAAAUUCAAGACUAACAAUAACCACAAUGCACAAUCCACAAUGAACAAACCUCAUUAAUUGAUUAUUCAAGCAAAUCAAUCAAAAUCAUCCAAACAAUUAUGGAAUUAUUAGUUAAGGAAAAUAACAUAUCGCAUCCUUGAACACCUAAAACAAACUCUAAAUCUAAAUCCAAAUCCAAAUAGAUGUGAAAUAAUUAAAGA